rnacentral:rRNA from 1 species
UACGUAGGGGGCAAGCGUUGUCCGGAUUUAUUGGGCGUAAAGAGCGUGUAGGCGGCCAGACAGGUCAGCUGUGAAAACUCGAGGCUCAACCUCGAGACGUCGGUUGAAACCGUCUGGCUAGAGUCCGGAAGAGGAGAGUGGAAUUCCCGGUGUAGCGGUGAAAUGCGCAGAUAUCGGGAAGAACACCCGUGGCGAAGGCGGCUCUCUGGGACGUGACUGACGCUGAGGAGCGAAAAGCGUGGGGAGCGAACAGG